CUCCAGCCCGGCCUCGCGCUCCCUCUCUUUCUCUCGUUCUCGCUCCUGCUCUCUCUCACGCUGGCGGAGCUCGUUCUCCAUCUGUAGCCUCUCAGAGAACGC